rnacentral:rRNA from 1 species
AGUUAACGCUGGCGGCGUGCUUAACACAUGCAAGUCGAACGCGUUCCGGGGGCAACUCCGGGAUGAGUGGCGAACGGGUGAGUAACACGUGGGUCAUCUCCCCUCGAGUGAGGAAUAAGCUCGCGAAAGUGAGUCUAAUACCGCAUGACACCUCGGGGCACAUGCCUUCGAGGUCAAAGCCGAAAGGCGCUUGAGGAUGAGCCUGCGGCCUAUUAGCUAGUUGGUAGGGUAAUGGCCUACCAAGGUUAUAAUGGGUAGCCGGCCUGAGAGGGUGUACGGCCACACUGGGACUGAGACACGGCCCAGACUCCUACGGGUGGCAG